UGUGUGUGAGGGAGACAGAGAGCGGGGUGGGCAGAGAGACAGAGAACACUGGGGAGGAGGAGGAGGAGUCCAGAAGGAGCUGGAACGGCCUUUCUGGGUGAGAACACAGCAUGUGCCAGCCUGGCCCUGUGGACCACAAGGCUCACGGUGGCCACCUUCAUGGGCCUUCCCUGGACUCGCCUGGUGGGUCCUGAGGGCUUGUGUGCCCCCCCUCACUCUGACCCAGGACGGCCCUAGGGAUCCUUUGGCCUCAGACCUGUUCAGGCAGGACCCAGCAGAAACCCCUCCCCCGUCUCCGCCCACAGGCCUCUUUGCCCUUUACAAAGUUUAAGGGUCACUCUGGAGUUUUUCCUUAGGGGCUCAGAAAGUCAGCCACACUCGGCGAUCAGGGUCAGGCUUCAUGGGGUCAGACAGGCACGGGGCAUGCUAGGGAGUGUCUAGCAGCCACUCUUGGGGUGUGAGGAGUCCUGGUCUGCUCCCCCAACAGCAGGCUUCCAGCUUCUAACGCAAACUUGCUGGCUGCAGAGUUGGUGUGAGAUGUUCGCCUUGGAAGGCAGACGCACCCUCAGGACGUCAGGAAGUCUUGGUCAGGGGGAUUGUGUUGGGGGAGAGACCACCUUAGCUGAAGGGGGUUUCCAGUGUGUGGUUCUGAUCUGGGCUGCUGCACAGGCUCAAGGCUCACAGGACGUCCUUCCUCCAGGGUCAUAUGGGCCCCUGCACUGCAAAUCGAUGGCACCCAUGGGCAGCAGGGCCUCCCUAGACAGCCCAUCACACAAAAGACCACCUGUGGCUGGCCCCUCACCUGGAGCCCCAGAAACAAGCACACGUAUACUGUUAGAAACAUCCAAGGGGAGGCCGCGUAACUGGAGGACCAGGAGGAGCAUUGCGGCAU
rnacentral:lncRNA from 1 species